AUGUUCUAUUAUGCUUUCCUUCUGUGAUUAGAUGCAUUUAUUUUGUUAACAAGGUUGGAUGGGGAAAUCUCGAAGUGGUUCGUCCUAGAUCUCUCCAAGCACAUGUGGGUGUUCAUAGAUUGCUAGUACAAGCUUACAACACUGAGAAGUUAUGGGGUUUAAUUUCCCUCACAUUUGUGCUAUUUGGUCUUUGUAUUGCCCAAUUGGUGGUGUUGGCAUGUACACAGGAUAUUCUGAUUGUCUCUGUUUCUGUACUGCAGGCUGUAUGAAACAGGAUUCAGAGUUUCUCCUUGUAAACGCCCUAGCACCUGGACGCAACAGCAUUGGGCAUGUUUGCAGCAGCAGCCACUACUGCACAGUUUGAUUCAACAGCAACAAGCUUCAGGUUGUAUUCAGAACCAAAUUCUAUUGCAUCUCUGAUUGCGCACGCUUCUGCAUCAGUGCACUUGUCAAUGACGAUGCUUAGCUGAAUCUUACUACAUAGGCUGGGGUCUGAUAUGCCCAAUUCUAGAUAUCUAAAUUUCGUGAUCAUGUUGCAUAGCUAGAUACUUUAUGUAUGUUUUUCACACAUGCUUAAACAUUUGUUUCACUUCUGGUUGUAUUUGACUAAACAUCUUGUAUCUCAUGAUAAGCUAAUGGAUGGUUAUCUGGUAUGUAGUCCCUAUUACCUCUGAUUCACACAUGCUUAAACAUUUGUUUCACUUUAGGUUGUAUUUGACUAAACAUCUUCUGACAGAUGGUUGUUUCUGAGCAUAAAUAAACUGCAACAUGGCCUUCUUCUUGGUUUCUUGAGAGUAAUAAGUGCCAUUAUGUCAUCAAACAAGGCAUCCAUCUGUCAUGUCUAAUCAGAUAAGGAUUUGUGUAAAAUAUGUCUGGUUUAGAACCGUUAAUCAUGGCAAGUACUUCUUAUACACAGACUUGAGAUAUGCAUUUAAUCAUGCCUUUUAUCCUUGUUGGUUCAAGCCUGCUGCAACUGUGCAAGUACUUCAUAUGCACAUACGUUUUGUUCUUGUAGGUAAAUGGAUCGUCCCAAGCUGAAGAGCAGGCUGGUAGUACUCGGCUGACAACCUCUGCACUUGCUGAAGACCAUGCUCAGAUUUCCCAUUGCUGAGCCCAGUGCAUUUUAGUGUAGCGUCUUGGAUCAAAUCCAACACAGUAGAGUUAUUUAGUGUAGUGUCUUGGAUCAAAUCUGUUGCUUCAACAAUAUAGCUAGCCAUUUUUUAAUGGCUACUAUUCAGGUACAUGUAGUGUACUAGUGUAUACUGUGCAGCUAUAUGUGUGGUCCAAAUGGAGUGUAAUGUACAUUUGCAGAUAUGGCAAUGGAUUGUGAUUUUGUGAACCUCGGUUGUAAUGCAUGCGAUAUAUAUUUUGUGCCUGAAUAUGAUUGUUGAGUCUGCCUUUUGUA